rnacentral:rRNA from 1 species
GGCUCAGAACGAACGCUGGCGGCGUGCCUAACACAUGCAAGUCAAGGAGAACGUUUCCUUCGGGAGACUAUUAAACUGGCGCACGGGUGAGUAACACGUGGAUUAUCUGCCCUUAACACAGACAUAACCCAGGGAAACUUGGAUUAAUAUCUGAUGAGGCCUCCGGGUCAAAGCUACGGCGGUUAAGGAUGAGUCUGCGUAUGAUUAGCUAGUUGGUAAGGUAAUGGCUUACCAAGGCUACGAUCAUUAACUGGUCUGAGAGGACGAUCAGUCACACUGGAACUGAGACACGGUCCAGACUCCUACGGGAGGCAGCAGUGAGGAAUUUUGGACAAUGGGGGAAACCCUGAUCCAGCGACGCCGCGUGUGGGAUGAAUGGGUUAUGCCCUGUAAACCACUGUCAGCAGAGAAGAAAAGGCUCUUAUGGAGCCCGGGACUGUAUCUGCAGAGGAAGGACCGGCUAACUACGUGCCAGCAGCCGCGGUAAUACGUAGGGUCCAAGCGUUGUCCGGAAUUACUGGGUAUAAAGGGUGCGCAGGCGGGCUCGUGCGUCGAAGGUUAAAGGCCAUGGCUCAACCAUGGAAAUGCCCUCGAUACGGCGAGUCUUGAGUAUGAGAGAGGAAGAUGGAAUUCCUGGUGUAGCAGUGAAAUGCGUAGAUAUCAGGAGGAACACCGGUGGCGAAGGCGGUCUUCUGGCUCAUUACUGACGCUCAGGCACGAAAGCGUGGGGAGCGAAC